ACCUAGGAUCUCGAACCCGAGAGAAAUAAAAUCAAAAUAAACUGAGAACUCUGAAAGUGUUACGAAAAAUUGGAAAGUUUUAAUGAGCAUUCAGAAGGUCAAAGAACAGAAGGCAAGGGCCCCUGUGUAGUUGGAUGAGUUCAGAAAGGUCAGAGGUCAAGGUUGAACAAGACUGAAGGACAGACAAACUACAUGAUUGUCUUUAAAACUGUGUACACUCGAGUACUCUCUCAGGUCACUCAGAGGAUUCAUCGCCAGUUCUCUUGUUCAACUAGAAUCAUGGCAGUUGAUCAAGGAAAACUCAAAUAUCUGGGUCAGGUAGAGGCCCAGAAGAUAGACGAGGAGUUGUUCACAGAGUACGCCUUCAGUGUGGACCAGUUGAUGGAACUCGCCGGAUAUAGCUGUGCUGUCGCCAUAGCAAAGUGUUACCCGGUGGAGAAAUUGACGCAAGGUAACGGUGCUGUUCUUGUCUGCUGUGGGCCGGGCAACAAUGGCGGUGAUGGACUUGUGUGUGCCAGACAUCUAAAAAUAUUUGUAAGGUUACAACCCCACGCUGUUCUACCCCAAGAAGCCUAACAAGCCUCUCUUUGAUAACCUGACCAAACAGUGUCAGGGUAUGGAGUUACCGUUCCUGUCGGAGUUCCCCACCGACGUAGAGGUCAUCCAAAGGUCAUACAGUCUGGUGGUGGAUGCUCUGUUUGGGUUCAGCUUCCAGCCACCGGUCAGGCCUCUGUUUGCUGGGGUCAUUGACACCCUGAAGAAGGUGGAGACUCCCAUCUGUAGUGUGGAUGUACCCUCAGGUUGGAACGUAGAAGAGGGAGAUCCUAGCGGUCUACAGCCCCAGCUUCUCAUCUCCCUCACAGCUCCCAAACGGUGUGCCAAACUCUUCAAGGGCAGAUUUCACUACCUGGGCGGACGAUUCGUCCCGAGAGCCCUGGAACAUAAGUAUGACCUUCAACUUCCUCCCUACCCCGGAACUGAUUGUGUGUGGUGGAACUAAAUACAGGAAAUUCCUGAAAUUGCAGUUCGGAGGAAUAAUAUCUUAAAUGUCUACAUUCUAUUGAGAAACAUUGGGUUUUUUCAAAAAAUAUUUUUGAUGUGAAAUAUUUUUACAUGGAUUGGUUUAUUGACCUAUAAUUUUGCAUUGUAAUUAGAAUCAGUUUUUAAUAAAACUGAACUACCUG
rnacentral:misc_RNA from 1 species